GUGCAGCAGGCGAGAAACCUUCGCAAUGCGGGAAACCGCGACGAGGGGACUCCCAGUGCCUACGCUCAGCGUAGGCUGUUCCCGAGCCUAGAAAGCUCGGGGAGUAAGGGCUGGGUAAGACGGGUGCCAGCCGCCGCGGUAAUACCCGCAGCCCGAGUGGUGGCCACUAUUAUUGGGCCUAAAGCGUCCGUAGCCGGCCCGGUAAAUGCCUGGGUAAAUCGUGAGGCCUAACCUCACGAAUUCCGGGUAGACUGCCGGGCUAGGGACCGGAGGAGGGAGAGGGUACUCCAGGGGUAGGGGCGAAAUCCUGUAAUCCCUGGAGGACCACCGGUGGCGAAGGCGCUCGUCCUAGGACGGGUCCGACGGUGAGGGACGAAAGCCAGGGGAGCGAACCGGAUUAGAUACCCCCGUAGU
rnacentral:rRNA from 1 species